rnacentral:lncRNA from 1 species
CUGACUCUAAGAAGUGCCCUGAAUUCUCCAGACAUUGAAUGUGGAUGACAUUGACACUAAGAAUGGUGACUGGUAAAGCUUGAACUUAGGGUAUUUGCUUUUCUCAAUAGCAGCUGUUACCACCAUUUUGAUAAGCAGCAUGUGUUCUAUUUUGUUUUCUCUUUAUCCAGCAUGAGCAGGAGAGAGAAAUCAGGUGCAGGAACGUAAACUGAUAGCAUGUCUGCAUCUUGCCCGUAGUUACACGUGGGUUUUGUUCAGAGACGAUGCUCAACCACGUCAGCACUCACUACUAACACUCAAAUGUGCAGCUUUCAGACAGGUUGGAAAACAGAAAAAAGUCAAGUUUGAGCCCUUGUUUUACAGCCAGUCCUGUGCCUCAGUAGUUGCCUUUAUUGUCUCUUAGCCCCAGAGCUGUGCCCUGCUCAAGCCCGCUGCCACUCUCACGAGAAACUGGAGCAGAGGGUGCUGAGGGUGCGCUGCGCCUGGCAGGAUGGACCACGCAAAGGCCAGAAACACUGGCAAACGCCAUGUGCCAUUUGCAGAUCUACCUCACCUGCACAUUUUUCCAGGUUUUCUGUAAUUUGCUGUCCCGUGGAACAUCCUGUCCCAUUUGUAAGAGCUUAGUGUCAGGUGAUUCUGCUCAACCUGGUCUUUAAGCCUGCCACCCCAGCCCCAUCCUGUCUCCCCGCUACAGGAACACUGUGAGUGUGGUAAGGGCUGCAGGCCAAGCCCAUGCCUGCUUUCCCCAGCUGGGCACUUGCUAAGCUGAGCACCCAAGGGCAGUGCUGAGGACCGCAGUGCUGUAAGUGAAGACACCGAAAACCUGUCAGCGGGGAUGCCGAAAAGGGCCUUGUUACACCAUUCAGACAAGCCCAGCUGAGCACAUCCAUCGCUGGUAUCUUGAAACAUGAGACCGCCUAAAAAAAUCCCAGCCUUUCCCGGUCAUACUGGGAUGUCACCGCCGUGCAGGGCACGCUGCACCCCUUACCUGGGGGCAAAGGGCUUGGCACAGCGACAGCCGUAUGCCCCCACAGGGUGCACUUGGGCUGUGCUCUUCUGAUUUCUUUUCUUAAAUAAAAGCACUGUAUUUUAGGGGAGAGGGAAAAUG